rnacentral:SRP_RNA from 1 species
GCCGGGCGUUGUGGCGGGCGCCUGUAGUCCCAGCUACCUGGGAGGCUGAGGCGGGAGACUCGCUUGAGCCCAGGACUUGGAGGUUGCUGUGAGUGUGUGAUGCCAUGGCACUCUACCCAGGAGGAUAGCUUGAGGCCCAGGAGUUGGAGGUUGCUGGAGCGACUCCGCUGCACUCUACCAAGGGCAAAAAAGUGAGACUCUGUCUCUA